CAGGGAUGGCUGCUCUUAACUCAUAGACGGGGGAGAGAGUGUCUGUCAGUGCUGGAGGCCCACUAACUGUUCCUGGACCUAAUGCCACACAAGGAUAUAGAUUUAGGGGCACUCCCUCAAGUUAGAGUUCCGCCAUAUUUUGCCCGAUCCAUUAUUUCUGACCUAUUAUGAGCCGAUGCGCUUUGUUUCUCUUUAUGUUUGCUAUUUUGUUUUACCUUUUACUUCUUAUAUUUUUUCUGAAGCAAGAGGUUACUUCCAUUGGAAUAUAUAUUUACAUUUAUCUCCAUUUGCUGUUAUUUCUGGUGGCAACUGCAUACCAGUCAUUGAGUCGAUGUACAUAUUUUUUUUCAUUUUAUUUAACCAUAUGGCUGAUAUAUUCUCGAUUUCUCUACUACCAGUGUCUGAUGAAGGGCUGCGAAACGAAAAUGUUCACAAGUUGAUUGUUGCUGUUACUAUAUUUCUCCAAAUAAAAGAAACGCACACUACUAAG